ensembl:lncRNA
CCCUCCAGCUCCCUCCAGUGAAACACAGCCUGCAGGUCUAGAGACAUCCAUCCCUCCAGCUCCCUCCAGUGAAACACAGCCUGCAGGUCUAGAGACAUCCAUCCCUCCAGCUCCCUCCAGUGAAACACAGCCUGCAGGUCUAGAGACAUCCAUCCCUCCAGCUCCCUCCAGUGAAACACAGCCUGCUGAAGAAACUACACCACUAAUGUCCAGUGAAUCUCCUGCACCAACCGGGGACCAACAAGAACAUAUUAUAACUAUCCCUGAUGCAACUACGGAUGGUCAUGAUAAUGACCAGAGUCUGGGUCCUGAGGAGAGAGCAAAUGCCGCACCUCCCAGUCC